AGAGUUUGAUCCUGGCUCAGGAUGAACGCUAGCGGCAGGCCUAAUACAUGCAAGUCGAACGGUCAGCAAUGACAGUGGCGAACGGGUGCGUAACGCGUAAACAAUCUGCCCCGAUUUGGGGGAUAGCCCGGCGAAAGCUGGGGUAAACCCGCGUAGUUUCUUUUUAUCGCAUGGUGAGGAGAAUAGACAUUUAUGGAAUCGGGAGGGGUUUGCGUCUGAUUAGUUAGAUGGCGGGGUAACGGCCCACCAUGACGAUGAUCAGUAGGGGCUCUGAGAGGAGGGUCCCCCACAUGGGCACUGAGACACGGGCCCAACUCCUACGGGAGGCAGCAGUAGGGAAUAUUGGUCAAUGGACGGAAGUCUGAACCAGCCAUGCCGCGUGCAGGAAGAAGGCGCUCAGCGUUGUAAACUGCUUUUGAGAGGGAAGAAAGUGCAGGAUGCGUCCUGUUUUGCCGGUACCUUUCGAAUAAGCACCGGCUAACUCCGUGCCAGCAGCCGCGGU
rnacentral:rRNA from 1 species